rnacentral:rRNA from 1 species
UACGUAGGGACCGAGCGUUGUCCGGAAUCAUUGGGCGUAAAGAGCGUGUAGGCGGCCGACUAAGUCCCGCGUGAAAUCUCACGGCUCAACCGUGAGCGGCCGCGGGAAACUGAUCGGCUAGAGUGUGGGAGAGGAGAGUGGAAUUCCUGGUGUAGCGGUGAAAUGCGCAGAUAUCAGGAAGAACACCCGUGGCGAAGGCGGCUCUCUGGAACGCAACUGACGCUGAGACGCGAAAGCGUGGGGAGCAAACAGG